AACGUUCCGAAAGGAACGCUAAUACCGCAUACGUCCUACGGGAGAAAGCAGGGGACCUUCGGGCCUUCGGCUAUCAGAUGAGCCUAGGUCGGAUUAGCUAGUUGGUGACGUAAGGGGCUCACCAAGGCGACGAUCCGUAACUGGUCUGAGAGGAUGAUCAGUCACACUGGAACUGAGACACGGUCCAGACUCCUACGGGAGGCAGCAGUGGGGAAUAUUGGACAAUGGGCGAAAGCCUGAUCCAGCCAUGCCGCGUGUGUGAAGAAGGUCUUCGGAUUGUAAAGCACUUUAAGUUGGGAGGAAGGGCAGUAAGUUAAUACCUUGCUGUUUUGACGUUACCAACAGAAUAAGCACCGGCUAACUUCGUGCCAGCAGCCGCGGUAAUACGAAGGGUGCAAGCGUUAAUCGGAAUUACUGGGCGUAAAGUGUGUGUAGGUGGUUUUGUAAGUUGGAGGUGAAAUCCCCGGGCUCAACCUGGGAACUGCCUCCAAAACUGCAUGACUAGAGUACGGUAGAGGGUAGUGGAAUUUCCUGUGUAGCGGUGAAAUGCGUAGAUAUAGGAAGGAACACCAGUGA
rnacentral:rRNA from 1 species